CCUACGUGAGGCUGCAGUGGGGGAUAUUGCACAAUGGGGGGAACCCUGAUGCAGCGACGCCGCGUGGGUGAAGGAGUGCUUCGGCAUGUAAAGCCCUAUCGGCAGGGAAGAAGCAAGACGGUACCUGACUAAGAAGCCCCGGCUAACUACGUGCCAGCAGCCGCGGUAAUACGUAGGGGGCGAGCGUUAUCCGGAUUCACUGGGUGUAAAGGGAGCGUAGACGGCCAUGCAAGCCAGGGGUGAAAGGCGGGGGCUCAACCCCCGGACUGCUCUGGAAACUGUACGGCUGGAGUGCAGGAGAGGUAAGUGGAAUUCCUAGUGUAGCGGUGAAAUGCGUAGAUAUUAGGAGGAACACCAGUGGCGAAGGCGGCUUACUGGACUGUAACUGACGUUGAGGCUCGAAAGCGUGGGGAGCAAACAGGAUUAGAUACCCUUGUAGUC
rnacentral:rRNA from 1 species